CUUCAACUGGCAAUGUUUCAUUGAUGCUGUUUAGUGUUCACGAUGUCUCGUAACAUUCGCGUCACAGUCUGCUUCGCAAGCAUUAUGCAUGAAAUUGUUCUGCUCAACGUGGUUUCAUCCAGCUAAACUACUAGUUGAUGGAGAGGCGAGGGAGUUCGGUUUGAUAGAAUGUAGUCAUAACUUUGGUGACUUGAGACGUAGAAACUCUUAUCGUGGAUGAGUGAUGUCUGAGAAGACCGAUGAAUGGACUGUUGAGAGGAGGAGUUUGUGUCUCUUCAUCUCAGUCUUCCCCGUUAACAGGGUUUAGCUAUCCCUCAAGGUUAGAAGUAUGUCAACCCACUUAACUCACAGGUAUGUCUCUCAUGCUACAGUAUAUGCUCCUGCACCAAGCGUGUUUUAGGUAAACUACAGUUAGCCUAUAGAUACAUCAAAU